GAUGAACGCUGGCGGCGUGCCUGAUACAUGCAAGUCGAGCGAACGGACGAGAAGCUUGCUUCUCUGAUGUUAGCGGCGGACGGGUGAGUAACACGUGGAUAACCUACCUAUAAGACUGGGAUAACUUCGGGGAACCGUAGCUAAUACCGGAUAAUAUUUUGAACCGCAUGGUUCAAAAGUGAAAGACGGUCUUGCUGUCACUUAUAGAUGGAUCCGCGCUGCAUUAGCUAGUUGGUAAGGUAACGGCUUACCAAGGCAACGAUGCAUAGCCGACCUGAGAGGGUGAUCGGCCACACUGGAACUGAGACACGGUCCAGACUCCUACGGGAGGCAGCAGUAGGGAAUCUUCCGCAAUGGGCGAAAGCCUGACGGAGCAACGCCGCGUGAGUGAUGAAGGUCUUCGGAUCGUAAAACUCUGUUAUUAGGGAAGAACAUAUGUGUAAGUAACUGUGCACAUCUUGACGGUACCUAAUCAGAAAGCCACGGCUAACUACGUG
rnacentral:rRNA from 1 species